rnacentral:rRNA from 1 species
UGCCAGCAGCCGCGGUAAUACGGGGGGGGCGAGCGUUGUUCGGAAUUACUGGGCGUAAAGGGCGCGUAGGCGGUUUGCUAAGUUAGAUGUGAAAACUCUGGGCUCAACCCAGAGCCUGCAUCUAAAACUGGCAGGCUAGAGUUCUGGAGGGGGUAGCGGAAUUCCUGGUGUAGCGGUGAAAUGCGUAGAUAUCAGGAGGAACACCGGUGGCGAAGGCGGCUACCUGGACAGAAACUGACGCUGAGGCGCGAAAGCUAGGGGAGCAAACAGGAUUAGAUA